UAGUCCAUGCUGUAAACGAUGAUAACUCGAUGCAUGCGAUAAAUUGUAUGUGUCCAAGCGAAAGCGUUAAGUUAUCCACCUGGGGAGUACGAUCGCAAGGUUGAAACUCAAAGGAAUUGACGGGGGCCCGCACAAGCGGUGGAGCAUGUGGUUUAAUUCGAUGUUACGCGAGGAACCUUACCAGGGCUUGAAAGUUAGCGACAGGUCGGGAAACCGAUCUUCCCUUCGGGGCGCGAAACUAGGUGCUGCAUGGCUGUCGUCAGCUCGUGCCGUGAGGUGUCGGGUUAAGUCCCAUAACGAGCGCAACCCCUAUCUCUAGUUGCCAGCACAUAAUGGUGGGGACUCUAGAGAAACUGCCCGCGUAAGCGGUGAGGAAGGUGGGGACGACGUCAAGUCAUCAUGGCCCUUACGUCCUGGGCUACACACGUGCUACAAUGGCAAAUACAAUGGGCAGCUACUGGGUGACCAGAUGCUAAUCUCUAAAGUUUGUCUCAGUUCGGA
rnacentral:rRNA from 1 species